GACGAACGCUGGCGGCGUGCUUAACACAUGCAAGUCGAACGAUGAAGCUGGAGCUUGCUCCGGUGGAUUAGUGGCGAACGGGUGAGUAACACGUGAGCAAUCUGCCCUUGACUCUGGGAUAACUGCGGGAAACUGUAGCUAAUACCGGAUACGAGGCUCGAAGGCAUCUUCGGGUCCGGAAAGAAUUUCGGUCAAGGAUGAGCUCGCGGCCUAUCAGCUUGUUGGUGAGGUAAUGGCUCCCCAAGGCGACGACGGGUAGCCGGCCUGAGAGGGUGACCGGCCACAGUGGGACUGAGACACGGCCCAGACUCCUACGGGAGGCAGCAGUGGGGAAUAUUGCACAAUGGGCGAAAGCCUGAUGCAGCAACGCCGCGUGAGGGAUGAAGGCCUUCGGGUUGUAAACCUCUUUUAGCAGGGAAGAAGCGAAAGUGACGGUACCUGCAGAAAAAGCACCGGCUAACUACGUGCCAGCAGCCGCCGUAA
rnacentral:rRNA from 1 species